rnacentral:rRNA from 1 species
CAGUAGCCGCGGUAAUACAGAGGGUGCAAGCGUUAAUCGGAAUUACUGGGCAUAAAGCGCGCGUAGGUGGUUCGCCAAGUUGGAUGUGAAAUCCCCGGGCUCAACCUGGGAACUGCAUCCAAAACUGGCGAGCUAGAGUAUGGUAGAGGGUGGUGGAAUUUCCUGUGUAGCGGUGAAAUGCGUAGAUAUAGGAAGGAACAUCAGUGGCGAAGGCGACCACCUGGACUGAUACUGACACUGAGGUGCGAAAGCGUGGGGAGCAAACAGGAUUAGAUACCCCCGUAGUCCCUGUCUCUUAUAC